UGGGUUUGUAGGCGAAGCGCCAUUUACACCUUUUCCCAGCAACGAUGCUGCAAAACGAACACAGUUCGCCGCCAUCUUUGCUGACGACAACAGCGUCAACGCCGGAAGUUAGCGUACGUCACACCAACGUGGAGAGCCUCCGUGGGUGAAUUGGGUGGAGAUGUUUAGUUGGAGCUCACUGUGGACACAGAUUUCCAUAUGGAUGGCAGAGAUUCCAGUACUAAAGAAACACAACAAUAGGUGACAUUGGCCUCCCCUCGAUGUGCCCGAUCCCCAGAUUGAGAGACAUCCUCUUAAUUGUACGUCUGAAACACCGAUGGAGCUAAAAAAAAAAAGGAAGAUAUCAGUGUGGAGUUUUGCCAAGUCGGCUCCUUCCCCUCUUUCUUUCCCAAGUGCUGGAGAAUUGAAAGCUUCUAA